GAACCUUGUCGGAGAGUGCAGGAUCAAGCUGCAGGAGGGCUUGUGGCGGGAUAUGGAAUAUGAAAUGAACCUGGAUCUUUGACCACUACAGGGAAGACAGCCACAUGGAAGUUACCGGAACCUGAGUUCCAUCUAAGCCUAAGAGAAAGGAAGGAGGAGUCUCAUUUUCAAGGUCAAGACAAGGAAACAAUUCAGAAUCUCAGAGGAACUAAAGAAGUGUGAAAUGCAAGUUUGGAGAAUUGCUGAGAACAGCCCAACAGCCCUGCAAAUGCACCUCCUGGGGACAGACUUCUGUUCAUUAGAGCAGGCUUGCUGUUGAGGAAGCUGGAUCACCUUGCAGAGGUGUCUGAAAGGCAGAUGUUGGUGCAGCUCAG